rnacentral:sRNA from 1 species
GAAGAUUACUACCCAAGGUGGCACAAGUUGUACUAGUACAAAAAGUCUUAGGAGGAAAAACCCUCUUUAUAAUCUUCUUACCUUUGAAGACUGAUUCAUUUUCUAACUGUGUAGAUAAUCUUUUAUAUUAUUGGUUUCUUUCAGCUGACCUCAAGAGAAUUUGCAAGACAAUAGUUGAGGCUGCAAGUGAUGAGGAGAGACUAAAAGCUUUUGCUCCCAUUCAGGAAAUGAUGACUUUUGUGCAGUUUGCUAAUGAUGAAUGUGAUUAUGGCAUGGGGCUGGAAUUGGGAAUGGAUCUCUUUUGCUAUGGCUCACAUUAUUUUCAUAAAGUUGCUGGCCAGCUUUUACCUCUUGCGUAUAAUCUGUUGAAGAGGAGUCUGUUUGCAGAAAUUAUUGAGGAUCAUCUGGCAAACAGAAGUAAAGAGAACAUAGACCAACUCGCUGCAUGAGUAAGGUGGCUUUGACUGGUGUACAGUAUUUCAAAGGACUAGUAUUAAACUUGUGAUUUUUGUUGUUUUUAGAAUACAAAAAAUAAACAUUUACUAA